rnacentral:rRNA from 1 species
UGGGUAACCUGCCUCAAAGAGGGGAAUAGCCUCCCGAAAGGGAGAUUAAUACCGCAUAAUAUGUUUAGGUCGCAUGACUUUAACAUCAAAGGAUUUUCUUUUAGAAAUUCCACUUUGAGAUGGACCCGCGGCGCAUUAGCUAGUUGGUGAGGUAACGGCUCACCAAGGCAACGAUGCGUAGCCGACCUGAGAGGGUGAUCGGCCACAUUGGAACUGAGACACGGUCCAGACUCCGUACGGGAGCAG